AUUGAACGCUGGCGGCAUGCUUUACACAUGCAAGUCGAACGGCAGCACGGGGGCAACCCUGGUGGCGAGUGGCGAACGGGUGAGUAAUGCAUCGGAACGCGUCCUGUAAUGGGGGAUAACCUACCGAAAGGUAGGCUAAUACCGCAUACGUCCUUAGGGAGAAAGCGGGGGAUCGUAAGACCUCGUGUUAUAGGAGCGGCCGAUGUCGGAUUAGCUAGUUGGUGGGGUAAAGGCCUACCAAGGCGACGAUCCGUAGCGGGUCUGAGAGGACGGCCCGCCACACUGGGACUGAGACACGGCCCAGACUCCUACGGGAGGCAGCAGUGGGGAAUUUUGGACAAUGGGGGCAACCCUGAUCCAGCGAUGCCGCGUGAGUGAUGAAGG
rnacentral:rRNA from 1 species